CAGCUUAAAAGAUGAUGUGAGUGACAGACAUGAUGACAAGCCUUUGGUCAACCCUUUCUCCAUAGCAAAUCGAUAAGCAAUGCAAUGAAAGAAGCUUAAACAAUGGAUCUUCUCAUGCCAUUGCUUAAAGAUUUUCUAUGUGGAAAGGAUGCCUACCAACUUUUCAGACUAUUUUUCUCACAUCUUUACUG